rnacentral:lncRNA from 1 species
UUUUUUACAUAAAUGAGGCCGUUAGUUUUCUCGUUUGAAUUGUUUUACAUUGUCUUAUCAGGGUCUUUUAUAGCUGACUAUGAGGUAUGGGCUUUGCUCAUUGUUGAAGGCCGUAUGGUGACCUAUAGUUGUUAAUGUUUGUGUCAUUUUGGUCUUUUGUGGAUAGUUGUCUCAUUGGCAAUCAUACAACAUCUUCUUUUUU